AUGGACACGCAGGUGAAGCUCGCGGUUGUGGUCAAGGUGAUGGGCCGCACGGGGUCGAGGGGUCAGGUGACCCAGGUGAGAGUCAAGUUCCUGGAUGACCAGAACCGUCUCAUCAUGAGGAACGUCAAGGGACCCGUCCGUGAGGGGGACAUCCUCACCCUGCUCGAGUCUGAGCGGGAGGCCAGGAGGCUGCGCUAA
rnacentral:rRNA from 1 species